CACAACUCCAGAAAGAAGAUGGUGCACGAAAACAGAAGUCCCAGACCAAAAAGAAAACCAAUAGAAAAUUAUUGAUAGAAUCGAAUUAAGCUGAACAAAAGAAAUCUAUAUACUUUUUCCUCCUCGGGAAAACUUCCAUACUCUUCAUCGAAAAGUUCUUUCCCAGUAACCAAUCGGAAAGUAGCGAGAGAAAAUUCGGUACUUUGGGCUUGUCACGCGUGCAGAGGUCGGCGAGGAUUCGGUUGAGCGAGUCGAAGCUGCAGCCUCCAGCCCCGGAGGCGACGGCCGCAGCAGCUGCAGCUGCAGCGCCGGCGGAGAAGCGGAGGGACUGUGACGUGUACGCCAUGUGGCUCCCACGAUUGAGAAACCCUAGAGAGUCCUCUCUCUUUCUCUCUCCGAAUCUUUCACCCAGAUCUUCGAUUCUUCAAGGCAUCGAAAUGGACACAAAGCCGCCGUGUCGUGUUUUCCGGUCGGUUAUAGGCGUUAUGAGUACGCGUGGUGAGUGUGUGUAAACUCUCAUUUUUACUGUGCAAGAAAGACCGGUCUUUCAUAAAUGUUGCCAACAAAAGCUAAACCCCAGUCCCUUUUUUAAUAUUUCUGGGUUCCAAACAAAUUAGAUACCAUUUUAGGUUUAGUUUUUUUUUUUCGUUUACUGAAUUUUUUUAGAUUAUCCCUUUUAUGAAAAAAAAUUACUAAAUUCACCAGCCGUAUGUAUGUAUGUAUGCAUCACACUCAUUAAUUAUAUUGUUCAUAAGUCUGGUCCGUAUGCACGGAUUCUUCUUUUAUCAACAAAAAUAUAUAUAUUUAGAAGAGUAACAA